rnacentral:lncRNA from 1 species
CCAUCAGUUCAUAUACUAGUCACAAUUCAAAAUCAAUCAAUCAACUAUGCAUCAAUCCCAAAUUAGUUGGGGUCAGCUAUAUUGAAUCCUAUACCUUUUUCACUCUAUUCAGGUUGAUUCCAUUCCUACGCUAAAUAUUACCUUUUAAGGAAAAAUACAGAUUCUCCAAAUGUCACUCUUAUCUCUACUUGGAUAUGGAUUAACCUCAACAAGUUGGUAUCUUCUAUGAGAAUCAUUUACUUUUAUUUUGUUAGGUUUAGUUAAAUGUCCAUUAGAGCCAUGAGAUUUUAGUAAUUUAAAAAAAUGAGAAGAAAUUUAGUGACAUGAAGUAUGAGGUUAAGUACUACAACGAAACAAAUAUGAGACAAUCCCAAACUAGUUGGCGUUGGCUAAAAGAAUUACCUAUAUUUGUUUCACCCUAUAUGGACCUAUUUAGUUUCAAUAAUCAAUAGUUUGUUUUUAAGACAAAUUAGAUGUUCUUUAAAUCCCAUACUUAUUCUAACAUACAAAUCCCUAACCAAACUAAAAGGACUUGAGCUAACACCACAUCUGAUGUAGUACCAACGAUGACUAAAUAAGCCUUAAUGCCAAUUACUAGUUGUGUAUUAUCAAUAUGAAGCACAACUACGUUUUUAUUCCUCGCUGUAGAUAUGCACAUAUGCAAAACAAAGAAGCACUCAGGCACACUCUUAAUGCACUAUUAACAUAAUAAAGUUGAGAUAUUCAAUAAACGUAUAUGAUCGCAAGUAUGGGUUAAGAAAACAUCUCAAGACGAAAUUCCGUAAGCAUCUCAAGGUCCAUAAUGCAAAGGCAGAGAAGAACAUUAUAAUUUCAUGCAUGUUCAGCUGCUUUAGAUUUCAUGCACCAGAAUCCAGAUAUAUUCCUAGAUUCGGGAAGAGUAAGAACAGAACAUAUACCAACAGACCAUGACAGGUACACAGCUCAUAUCUUCAUUGAAAUCUGGUUGUUGCCUUUCGAAAUAUUAAGCUUUAGUCAAUUAAUCACCCUAAAAGAACAACUACAAUAUUUAAAUGAAUAGGAUGUAACAAGGAGGCCACAAAAUAUAAAUAUCACUAGACUGCCCAUAUCCUAGAACCAAUCAACUUCGUGGAUCUAGUAUUUGGAUAGCGGGUAUAAAUGUGCCUGCAGUGUGUGCAGGCACACUAUAAAACACGUAGAUGCAUACAAUGACGGACCUAAACAGUCUGUGUUUAAGCACCCAUUGUUCUUGAGCCAACCACUAUUCUUUUUUUUUCCUUUCGUGUUGGUGGUGUGCAGACCAACUUGUGCUACCUCCUACCAGCCCAAGUACCAACCGCUACUUUUAUAUAUGAAACUAGUAUUAACAUACAAAUUGAUUGACUAAGCACCCUUCUGUGAUUAGUAGCAACACUAGAUUGAAAGCAGAUGAGCAUCCAUGACUAAAAAUUCCUGGCUCCGUGUAUGUAUACACAUAUAUAAACACACACUAAGUCCGCAUCCAUUGACUCUACACCUACUUAAAAUCCCGGAUCCAUCUCUACCUAUCAAUAAUUAAUUUCCCGCAUAAUUAUAAUUUCUCUCAUUAUAAUUAAAAAAGAAAAAAGAAAAACAUACCUAAAGGGUGUUCAAGUUUGAAAGAACUCUUGGCCAUUGCAAUACUCGAACUCUGAUCUCUUCCUGCAAAUUUCAUACAUCUAAAGAACAUCAGAUAGAAUUCACCUAAAAAAGCCUUUUUUUCACUCACCAAAAAAAUAAACACACAAUAUUUACAAACUUAAUAAACGCAAGUAAAAGCUGUAUUUGCGUGUAGAAAUCACCAAGAAAAAAAAAACAGCAAUUCACGCAAGAGGAUACCUUUCAAAUUUACCCAAAAAAGUAACAAAGCAAAUAAAUUCAAUCAAGAACUGAUGGUUAUGAGAGUAUUCAACAGAGAACAAAAUUAGGGUUUUUUUAUACGAACACGAAACGGAACUACUCAAAGUUGUUUAGAUUCACAAGGGAACUUAUUUUCCAACUACAAAUUUCUCUAAUUUUAUAUGUUACGGAUUGGGUUCGGUGAGACGUUGUUAUUGAAGUAAACGACGUCGUGGGAGUAUGUUAAAGGAAGAAACGACGACGUUUGGUUUGCGUGCGGUGGCGAUUUGCGCAUCUAAUGAACCUAACCUAUUUGAUU